GAAAAGUAUAAUCAGACUUUUAUUUUAGAAAGUACAUCUUGGCAGUAAUCAUGGAUUUGAAGGAAAUAAGGCCAAAAAAACUAGGUCAUUUUUUAUGGCAUUCACAUCUAAAUAAAUUCAGAAUCCACCAUACUACAGAAAUCUUGAUGUCUGAAAUUUUGAACCAUAACCUCUUGCUCUUUCAAGUCUCCCAGUAAAUUCAACCCUCGUUAUUUUUAGGGCCAAAAGCCUUUCAACCAUUUUUUUCCCCCAAGCUUAUUUUUCUUUUCUAUCCCUAUGAAGCCUAAAACACAUAGAUCAACAUUUCAACUGUACACUCAGUGACAUCUCAGAUUCUUUUUUCCCCUAAGUCUAACCUUUUUGCCAAUUCUUAGUUCAAGGUACACUCAACGAAAUGUACUAGUACCUUGGUUCUAAAUAAUCUUUACAAAAAGCAUGCAUUUAGAUUGGUUGUCUUUAUGAUAAGCCCUCAAUGUUAUCUUUCAAUCCUUUCAUUCACCUCUGUUUUAUCUCCCUAUCUUUUAUUCACCUCUGUUUAUCUCCCCAUCUUUGUAGGUUCUAGUUCCCUACUCCUGGAAAUUAUAAACAUUUCCCAGGAGGUUUGUUAAAAGUUUUACAACCCAAUCCGGAUGUAGAUAAAUAGAUCCUGACCUCAUAAAACCUAUCUUCCGGUUCACACUCACUCUACUGCAUCUAGUUAAUCUUCCAAGCAAUGAUUCUGGUGCAUCAGAAAUUUAUUAUCCUUAAUUCAUCUUAAAAAUGCAGAUUCUUGAAAUGCACCCCAGGCCUAAUGAGUCAAAUUAUCUGAAAGUGGAGCUCAGAAAUUUCCAAUUCUAAGAAACCUCCUGUGUGAUUCCUGGGUACACCAAAGUUGCAAACUACAGCUUUAAAAACUGUGUGGAAUGAGAAGCAAGAGAAAACAAUGAAUUGUAGGAGCCCAAGGGGCAAAUAAUAUCCUGCUCUCAUUUCCUUCCAGUCAUAGCAUGAAACCAAGCCACUUCACAGCAAAACUAAAGAAAGCCUUUCAAAGUGUUUAGUGUGUGGACAUGAGAACUAUAUAUAAGAAAAGUUGAUAUGAGUCAUAACUCAGUGUAAUUGCAUCCUGUUAUCAACAAAUAUAGGUGAUGUUAUAGACAUUUAAGUUUAGGGGCAUAGCAUAAAAAACUAAGGAAAGUAGACUAUUGACACAUAGUCACUUUUUAGCUCCUUGGUCUUCUUGAGGUUUUUGUGUAAGUUAGAAACUUGAUUGAAAUAAUAAAUCCAUUUGCUAGAAAAUAAAUCUUAAAAUUUUGAUUUGUAUUGUGAACUCCAAAUAUCUGAGACAGCUCCCAGUCAACGGAGAAAGUUUAUUUUGCCAAGGUUAAGGACAUGUGCCUGUGACAAAGACUCUGGAGGUCCUGAUAACAUAUGCUCAAGGUGGUUGGGACACAGCUUGGUUUUAUACAUUUUAGGAAGACAUGAGAGAUCAAACAAUAUAUGAAAGAUGAACACUGGUUCAGUCCAAAAUGGUGGGACAACUGGAAGCAAAGGUGAGACAACUUGAACUAGGGAGGGGACUUUCAGAUCAUAGGAAGAUAAGAGACAACCAGCUGCACACUUUUGAGUUUCUAAUUAGCCUUUCCAAAGGAGGCAAUCAGAUAUGCACUUCCCUCAGUGAGCAGAGGGAUUACUUGGAAUAGAAUGUGAGGCAGGUUUGCCCUAAGCAGUUCCCAGCUUGACUUUUCCCUUUGGCUCAGUGAGUUGGGGGUCCCAAGAUUUAUUUUCCUUUUACAUUUCUCCCCUUGUCUUUUUAAGACUCUUUCGGAGAAAGUAUUUUAGAAGAAAAUGAAUCUCUGGUCUCAGGUUUCAUCUAAUCUUUAAUGGCUAGGAUGGUUUGUUCCUAGACAGGUAGGUCCCAUAUUAUUAGGGAAGCUCAUUUUUAGCAGGUUGUGAAGUCUCACGUCCUAGGAAGAGAAAAUAAGAAGAGGUAGGGAGAAAAAACAACAAUAAAAAACCAACAAUCAUGAAAAACUGAUAUAGGCCAUAUUACUCUGAUGUCCAUACAUCACCAGUCAGGUAUGAAAGUAGCUUAUAUAUGUAAAUAGGUUGCUGUUAUUUCUUCUGAAGUUUAAGUUGUCUAGCUUCAGUUUGCAGGGCUUCAAGAAAACACACCACAGGUCAGGAACCCUGUACAGGGACUGUGUAGACAAGGUAUGAGGGUAGUUUUCCCAAGGGGUUUUUCUUGUCUCUGUAAGUCAAGUUUAUUUCCAGUCAAGUUUGUUGACCAUCCCAGCCAAAGCCUUGGUAAGGUAACCAGUUUCUCCAACGGUUUCAAAUAGUUUCAAAAUUCUGGAGAAAUCAGGUAGAGAGAAAUAAAUAUGCUCCAAAUAUUGUUGCUACAAGCUGUCAACAGCUCAAAAGAAAAGUUUUCUUGACCCAGAGCUGAAAAUGAGUUGAAGUAUAGAGUUAUUGUUUCAGCCCUUUUAAAAGGGGAGAGAAACCUAUUGGGGAUCAUGAAACUCUUGCCCUGCCCUGUCUAGUGGAGUCAGGGUAGUUCCUUGAUGGCCACAGGUGGUGACUUCACCCGGAACUGGCUGGAACACUUGUUGCAUGAUCAUCUGAAGCUUGAUGGUCCUUAACUAAGCAGUGGCUUCAUUAAUCCGUUUUCUGGGGUUUAAAUACCCUUUAGAGUUUUCCAUUCAUUAUUUGUUGUACAACCUCUCUGCUCACUGCUCAGUCACUUUUAUCCCCGACAUUCAGCAGUUUGUAUCCCUGAGGCUCAGCUGCUUGUGUUGCUGUAGCUUUCUUCUGCCAGCUGGGCUGGUUUUUAUGGGCACAGGAUAGGGGGCAGGGUGGGUCAAAAAGGCAAUCAU
rnacentral:lncRNA from 10 species